rnacentral:rRNA from 1 species
GAUGAACGCUGGCGGCGUGCCUAAUACAUGCAAGUCGAGCGAACAGACGAGGAGCUUGCUCCUCUGACGUUAGCGGCGGACGGGUGAGUAACACGUGGAUAACCUACCUAUAAGACUGGGAUAACUUCGGGAAACCGGAGCUAAUACCGGAUAAUAUAUUGAACCGCAUGGUUCAAUAGUGAAAGACGGUUUUGCUGUCACUUAUAGAUGGAUCCGCGCCGCAUUAGCUAGUUGGUAAGGUAACGGCUUACCAAGGCAACGAUGCGUAGCCGACCUGAGAGGGUGAUCGGCCACACUGGAACUGAGACACGGUCCAGACUCCUACGGGAGGCAGCAGUAGGGAAUCUUCCGCGAUGGGCGAAAGCCUGACGGAGCAACGCCGCGUGAGUGAUAAAGGUCUUCGGAUCGUAAAACUCUGUUAUUAGGGAAGAACAAAUGUGUAAGUAACUAUGCACGUCUUGACGGUACCUAAUCAGAAAGCCACGGCUAACUACGUG